CGCGUGGGUAAUCUACCCUCGAAUUGGGGAUAACAUCGCGAAAGUGAUGCUAAUACCGGAUAAUAUCUUAAAAACCUCGGUUUUAAAGAUCAAAGGUGGCCUCUACAUGUAAGCUUCUGUUUGGGGAUGAGCCCGCGUACCAUUAGCUUGUUGGUAGGGUAAUGGCCUACCAAGGCUGCGAUGGUUAGCUGGUCUGAGAGGAUGAUCAGCCACACUGGAACUGACACACGGUCCAGACUCCUACGGGAGGCAGCAGUGAGGAAUUUUGCGCAAUGGGGGAAACCCUGACGCAGCAACGCC
rnacentral:rRNA from 1 species